ACGGGCGAGCUACACAUGCAGUCGAGCGGAUCUUACUUUCUUGGCUAACAGUACCGGCGGACGGAUGAGUAACACGUGGGUAACCUGCCCCUAAUACUGGGAGGAAUUCUUAAACAAAUGCUGAUACCAGAUACGCCAUUCUAUCGCAUGAUCCAAGCGAGAAAGGCGGAGCGCUCUGCCACUUAAGGCUGGACCCGCGUCGCAAUUUCUUGUUGGUGAGGUAACGGCUCGCCACGGCGACUAUCCGUACCCAACCUGAGAUGGUGAUCGGCCACACUGGGACUGAGACACGGCCCAUACUCCUACCGGAGGCGGCAAUAAGGAAUCUUCGGCAAUGGACCAAAGUCUGACGGACCAACGCCGCGUGAAUGAUGAAAGUUUUCUGAUCCUAUUUCUCUGUUGCCGAGGAAAAACGCUUACAAAAGUAACUGCUCUGAAGGUGACGGUACCAGAAAACAAAGCCCCGGCUAAUUACAUGCCACCAGCCGCGGUAAUACGUACGGGGCUUACGUUGUCUUGAUUUAUUGGGCGUAAAGCGCGCGCACGCGGCCUUGUAAAUCUGUCAUUUACACUCUUAGCUCAACUUCUAGUCUCGAUGGAGACUGCAUAGCUUGAGUGCAGAAGAGGAAAGUGUAAUUCCACGUGUAGCGAUGAAAUGCGUAUAGAUGUGGAGGAACACCAGUGGCGAAAGCGACUUUCUGGGCUGUAACUGACGCUGAGCGCGCGAAAUGCGUGAGCAGCAAACAGGAUAUACAUAUCGCUAGGUAGUCGCACGUCCGUAACGACUGAAUAGCUAGGUGUUGACCGUGUGUCGAUAUCCUUGGCGUGACCAAACUUAACAUCAUUAACACUCCCGCCUGAGGGGAGGUAUCGCUACGCAAUGACACUACACAUCGAAUGUGAACUGACGGGCGGACACGCACAAGUCGAUGCAGUAGUGUGGAUUUAGAUCGCAGCCACACGAACAAUACCUAGCCCGUGCUGUACGUACCCAUCUGACAGUACUAGAAAUAGAUGCCUUCGUCACGUACGAUGCAAGACUACGUGCAUGCAUGGAUGUCAGUCAGCUCCUGUCGUAGAUGGUGGAGUUACGUUCCACCAACGAAAGCAACCUCGUACCUAACUGCAGUCAUCGGUGGCCUUCUGACUAGCUGCGCGUACAUCCGAGAGUGACGAUGGGGAUGACGUCAAAUCAUCCUGCCCCUUAUGACCCGGGGUACCCACCUAGUACAAUGGCCGAUACAACGGGAAGCGAAACCGCGAGGUGGAGCCAAUCCUAUCAAAGUCGGUCUCAGUUCGGAUUGCAGGCUGCAACUCGCCUGCAUGAAGUCGGAAUUGCUAGUAAUCGCGGAUCAGCAUGCCGCGGUGAAUACGUUCCCGGGCCUUGUACACACCGCCCGUCACACCACGAGAGUUUACAACACCCGAAGCCGGUGGGGUAACCGCAAGAGCGCAGCCGUCGAUAGAUGCCCCACC
rnacentral:rRNA from 1 species